AAGCCCAGAAGGCGGCGGACACUCGCAUAAAGUCACGCAGUAGUACUCGGAGCCCGGGGUAGAACCUGGACUUCAAAUCUCUGCACUCCCGGCCGGGUGGUGGGCGCAUAUCCUGGGUAGCCUCUAGGAAGCGCUAGACACAUAGGGAUCCAGUGAGCAGGACAGCAAAACGGGCCUUGGUGUAACUUCUGGAGAAACAGGGACAAGUGGAAGGAAGGUGGCAG
rnacentral:lncRNA from 1 species